CUGGACGUGGCUUUGAGCGUGGUGUAGUUCCGGAUUGUGAUUCCUGUUGUCGUGGGUUCGAGCCCCAUCGUCCACCCCA
rnacentral:tRNA from 1 species